rnacentral:rRNA from 1 species
UGAGGAAUUUUCCGCAAUGGGUGAAAGCCUGACGGAGCAAUGCCGCGUGGAGGAAGAAUGCCUUCGGGUUGUAAACUCCUUUUCUCAUAGAAGAAAAAUGACGGUAUAUGAAGAAUAAGCAUCGGCUAAUUCCGUGCCAGCAGCCGCGGUAAUACGGGAGAUGCAAGCGUUAUCCGGAAUUAUUGGGCGUAAAGAGUUUGUAGGUGGUUUAGUGUGUUUAAUGUUAAAGAUCAAAGCUCAACUUUGAAGUUGCAUUAAAAACUACUAGACUAGAGUAUGGUAGGGGCAUAGGGAAUUUCCAGUGUAGCGGUGAAAUGCGUAGAGAUUGGAAAGAACGCCAAAAGCGAAGGCACUUAGCUAGGCCUAUACUGACACUGAGAAACGAAAGCUGAGGGAGCAA